rnacentral:misc_RNA from 1 species
UCAUGCGUCUGUGUGGCACAUGCUCAGGUGGUGCGUCGUCCCCCCGCCGCACCCCCCUCCUACAUUCUCUCUAUCGAAGCCUUGCACGAGAACCCUCCCCCACCCCUCCUACCCCCAAUACAGCCAAGCGCACAUAUAGAUAGCCCCUCCACCACUCAUCACGUGUAUCAUCAUUCCUACCUGUCUUCUCCUCAUCCCUCCCCCUUAGCCAUGUCCUUCACGUUGAUGGCCUGCACCGAUAUUCGAGGGCAGAAGGUGAACGUUGAGCUCCCCUUUGAGCAGCCGCCCUCCUCGAUGGAAGCGCUGCGCUCUACCCUCGAGCAUCUGUUCCGUCGAGAGGAGGAGGCGAUCAAAUACUCGAUGGGAUACACAGACAUGCGCGCGUGCGAGCCCUUCACGAUCAACCGCCUGCAGCGCUACGACGACGACUCGCAGAGCUGGGCAGAUGUCACAUCCAUUGACGUGCUCCAAACAUACGACCAGCUCUACCUGUUUCGCAAGAACAGCACCAAGGCCGACAUCUCCACCCAGCGGGAGCUGCCACCGCCGAGGAUGUCGGAGUUCUUCUACGACCCGGCUGCCCCUGGGCCCUUUCACACGCCAUGCGGGUCAUCGCGCGUGAACGAGAACGGCGCCGCAGCCGCUUUGGCUCCCACCAGCGGUGGCUACGGCGGGACUGCCUCACCGAGCCAGGCACGUCCCAGCGCUGGAAGUAGUCCCUACAGGGUCGGUGGUGCCUCUGACUCCGCGACAGCAGCACAGCCUCCCGAGAGCUCCCCCGAAGCCGACCCUUACCAGGCGUCAGCGCCGCCGCCUACGUGUGCCGCGGCACUGCCGACACCACCGCCGUCGUCGUCCUUCUACUACAAGGAGCGCACCACACCGGAGCGGGUGGAGUACCUCUUCAGCCUCGGCAGCCAGCACAACGAUAGCGUCGCUCUCACAGAAAAGGCGUUUGAGCACAUUUUUCGCAUGGCCAGCGUUGCCUUCCCGGUCGAGGUUCUGCAGGACCUCUUCGACCACUUCGCCACACGCGGUGAUGGUGGUGUGGGUACGGCGACCAUGAGUCAGGUGGGCUUUCAAGAGUUCGCCACGUACUUCCCGGUCCUGGUAAACAUCGCCUACCAGCGCAUCACAAACCGAAAUCGUGAGGAGGCGAUUCGCGCCGCGCAGCUCGACAACGCAAAGCAGGUAAAACACGCGCGGCGCCAGCUGCAGGAAUUGGAGGCCCGGCUCGAAGCCGCACGCAAGGAGGUGCAGCAGGCCGAGCAGCACGAGGCUCGCCUGCAGGAGGACCUCUACGAUAUUAGCAUGCAGCGUGAUCCGGAGUACUGCCAAGACGAGCAGAAGCUUCUGGACAAGGAGGUGAGCGUCUUCAAGUACCGUGAGCGACUGUCCCGCGAGGAACGCGACUAUGAGAGGCUAGCCAUCGAGCGACGGAAGCGCGCUGUGGCAGCCUCUGCGCGUGCCCGGUCUCACUCCCCACAAGGGGCGUACGACCGGAACCGAUAUGGGCCCCGUGGUUAGAAUGGUGUUUUCUUGCCACCGCAGUCGAAGUCCCGGCACACGCGCAACGAAAAGAAACUGUGUAGCCACAGGAAAGCGGUAGAACAAGGUGCGUGCUACACUGGUGACGGGGCUGGGGGUGCAGAUGCGCGAAAAGCAACAUGCGCGUAAUGCGUUUCUCUCGUAGUACACCGCCACCACCAACACACACACACACACAACUACUGCGACUCUUACAGCGUGUAUUUGUACGUCUGUAUGCGUUUGUAUUUUAAGCCGGUGUGGGUGUGCGGGUGUGUGUGCGCGCAUGCUUGUAUAUGUAUCUGUGCAUCUCCCUACGUGUGAGAUACCCCCGCACAGGCACAUAUACGCAUCAUAGACAAGGCACACACGCGCGCACACACACUGUCAGCGAGGUCGAGCAUCUCAUGUGCUGCAAACGCAGCCACACACAUGCGCACAGAACCAAGACGGAAGGGCCGAACUGGGAAGGGGAGGUGAUGAAGGAUAGUCGUGGCAGCCGUGCGAAAGGAAAUAAAGGGAAAGAAGGAAAGGGGGAGGGUGGUGCAUGAUGCGUUCUGGCGCACACUCUUUUCCUUUUCUUCCCCCUUCGCCCCCAGUAUGAAGGAGAGACAGAAGCGGAACGAUAAGAAUCGCUCUCGCCUUUUCAGCUGUCAACGGCAACAACAUCGGCUACUAGGCAAGACGUCG